UGGUCACCUUUUCUUAGACAUCAGAAUACAUCCACCCUCUCUGCUUCGGAAUAAUAUGUUUCCUUAAACUAUUUGGACAGAUUUAUUUUUGUUCUUGUUUAUCUUUUGGUCAGUUUCAUGACCCACUUUAAUUGCAUAAUGACAAUUAUACUUCUUUUACAAAAGAAUAGCAUACUAAGUCAGAAUAUUAAAAGAAUAACCAAUUUCCAACUAAAAUCAUAAAACUAUGAUGUUAAAUUGUAUUAUCAAUUAUUUGAAAUUUUUUAUCUAUGUUUUAAUAUUAUAAUUGUAUUGAGUACUUUUAUGGUUUAAUGAUUCAUAAGUGUCAAGAUUAAAAUAAAAGAAGUGAUUAAUAGAAUGUUCAAUAUGUAUAGUACAGUACAAUUUAUAUAAUUUCAGAUUAGUGCUUCUGCUUUAAAGGUUUUGAAAUUCUUACUGUAGGAUUGUUUUCUCAGGAUAUUUUAAAGAAAAUAUCUGAAGGUUUACAAAGGCCUUUUAAAAGACCUUUAAUAUAGGUGUAUAUUACUUACGCUUAAAUAAUUUUAAGACUUACUUUUUUUAAUUUUACAUUUAUUGAUGUUUGCUGGCACGUGUGUGGGGGCAACAUAUGUGUCCAGUGCUUGUGGAAGCCGAAAGAGUACAUUAUAUCAACUGGAAUUAAAGUUAUAGAUGGUUAUUAGCAAUAAUUUGGGUGCUAGGAGCACACUUUGGUCCCCAAGAAGUGCAACCUGUGAGCUUAACCACUAACUGAUGAGUCCUGCCCCACCAUGUUACAUUUUAAACUUUAAUAUUUAAUCCCUUUGAGAAUAGUACAUGUGUGGUGGGAGAUGCUCAUUUUUGAUGACAAAACAAAUUAAAUAUAUCAAUUUUACUAAAAGUAUUUAUUUCUUAAUGGAAUUUGUAACUAUAUCCUGAAAAACCUAGCUUGAAAUUAUUUUCUUGCAAGUGGUACAACUUUUACUAUACUUCAUGUUUAUUAAUAUUAGUUAGGAAUAUUUUUCUUAUUCUUACUCAUCCUAAAAAUAUAGUUUCAUUUAUUCUUAUCAAAUCCUUAAAAACAAAAUACAAGAAUAGAAAUGACUCUGUAUGCAGAACACAUAUUUUACAUGUAGUCAAACAGUACUGCAUACCUUAUCUUUAAAUAGAUUAAAUUAAUUUUAGUAUGCUCUUGUAAUCUUGAUAUUUUUAAAGAUUGUUAAUAGCAUUAGUAUGGGAAUAAAAAAAUAAAAUAUGCUUGACCUCAUUUGACUCUUUUGAUGUGUAGUCAUUUAAAAGGUUUGUAAGACGUUUAAUUACCAAAUAGUAUGAUCAUUAUUCAUCUCAUCAGUUGAUAUAACGUCAACUGAAUUGCCUCCCUAGAGUGCACUGUGCUUCACAGAUCAAUAGAUUACCCAAGAGCUUGAAGGAAAGCUUUAAACAUUCAC
rnacentral:lncRNA from 1 species